CCUACGGGUGGCAGCAGUGGGGAAUAUUGGACAAUGGGCGAAAGCCUGAUCCAGCCAUGCCACGUGUGUGAAGAAGGCCUUCGGGUUGUAAAGCACUUUCAGUGGGGAAGAAAGCCUUGGGGCUAAUACCCUCGAGGAAGGACAUCACCCACAGAAGAAGCACCGGCUAACUCCGUGCCAGCAGCCGCGGUAAUACGGAGGGUGCGAGCGUUAAUCGGAAUUACUGGGCGUAAAGCGCGCGUAGGCGGUCUGAUAAGCCGGUUGUGAAAGCCCCGGGCUCAACCUGGGAACGGCAUCCGGAACUGUCAGGCUAGAGUGCAGGAGAGGAAGGUAGAAUUCCCGGUGUAGCGGUGAAAUGCGUAGAGAUCGGGAGGAAUACCAGUGGCGAAGGCGGCCUUCUGGACUGACACUGACGCUGAGGUGCGAAAGCGUGGGUAGCAAACAGGAUUAGAUACCCUGGUAGUC
rnacentral:rRNA from 1 species